GCUAGACCGGGUGCAGCCGAAGAGCUUCUGGCCUAAAUUGGCCGGGGCAACGUGUGUUUGGUUGGAUUGGCUGGCGCGGCAGCGUGCGGAGCGCUGAUUGGUCGCUGGGAAUGGAAUGAUUUCUCGUCAAGUGGAUCACAGACAUUUUGCCUUAAAGCACUGAAAGACAACAAAUACAAGUGCAAUAAGGAAGAACGUCUCUGUGGCUCUUGCUACCGCUCUAUCUGCCACAGGUGUGGGGCAAGAAAAAGAAUCACGUUCUACUCUUCUUUUGAUCAUGGGGACGAGGGAAAAGAAGAAUAACUUUCAGGCUGCGGUCAGGCCUCCAGCUGUUCUAAACAUGGAUUCCAUUCUUCUGUAACACUACAAAUGUUCUCUAUGGAUGCAACUUUUUAGGAGGAUCACUUUUUUAUUAAUGAGAAAGAGAGCAUGGAGAAGGAGGGGCAGAGAGUGAGAGAGUCUCAAGCAGACUGCACUGAGCACAGAGUCCGACUGGGGGCUUCAUCUUAUGACCCUGAGAUCACAACCCUGAAUUCAGGACCUGAGCCAAAAUCAAGUGUUAGAUACUUAACCAACUGCACUACCUAGGGACCCUGAAUUGCUAUCUUUCUUAAAAGAUUUGUUGAAAAA